rnacentral:lncRNA from 1 species
GUGGCAUGCUCGUCUAGGACAUUGUUUUCACAAGCAUUUAAAACUCAUUCGUUUUCUUUCUCAAAUACAUUUUGGUUCCAAUAAUUGUUAUGACGUUUGUUAUCGAGCAAAACAAACUUGUAGACCUUUUUCGUUAAGUUUUAAUAAAUCUAUUUUUCAUUUUCAUUUAGUGCAUCUCGAUAUAUGGGGACCAUAUCGCAC